AUCACAUCGGAAAUAGGGGAAGAACCUCAUCCUGACACCAAUAAAGGUUCGGCCAUUCGAGACCCGACAAGAAAGAAGAAAACCUUCUCGGCGGCCCUUCUAUGCUACUGCGACUUCGUAAAAAGCUAGGGAGAACUCUUGCCUAAAAGAAGGAGGGAAAUGUGAACGAACAGCGAUGGGAUACCCCAACAAAAAAUGGAGGCCAAACUACACUAAAAGCACAAAGGACCUCAUCUCCAUG
rnacentral:lncRNA from 1 species